rnacentral:rRNA from 1 species
GACGAACGCUGGCGGCGUGCUUAACACAUGCAAGUCGAACGGAAAGGCCCUGCUUUUGUGGGGUGCUCGAGAGGCGAACGGGUGAGUAACACGUGAGUAACCUGCCCUUGACUUUGGGAUAACUUCAGGAAACUGGGGCUAAUACCGGAUAGGAGCUCCUGCUGCAUGGUGGGGGUUGGAAAGUUUCGGCGGUUGGGGAUGGACUCGCGGCUUAUCAGCUUGUUGGUGGGGUAGUGGCUUACCAAGGCUUUGACGGGUAGCCGGCCUGAGAGGGUGACCGGCCACAUUGGGACUGAGAUACGGCCCAGACUCCUACGGGAGGCAGCAGUGGGGAAUAUUGCACAAUGGGCGGAAGCCUGAUGCAGCAACGCCGCGUGCGGGAUGACGGCCUUCGGGUUGUAAACCGCUUUCGCCUGUGACGAAGCGUGAGUGACGGUAAUGGGUAAAGAAGCACCGGCUAACUACGU